UGAUGCCUCCAAAUAAUCACUAAGCAAU
rnacentral:piRNA from 1 species